CAUUUCUAUAAGGUUAGUUUUGGAUCUGUUUUUUCAGUUGUAGACACAAAUUGAAGUUGUUGUUUGUCUCAAUCGGAGUUAUAAUUGAACUAAGGUUUCUUGAUUUUGUUGUCUAGAAAUGAACUCUUAAACUUACACUACUGUAGUUGCAGAGAGUCUGAUUAUGUUUGGAUUAAAAUGACUAUGGAAAGGAACUUGCUGUUCUAAAAAACAAUACAAAACAUCUACAAAGUUAAAUAUCAGAAGCAAAAAAACUAAAACUAUCCUAAUUCCUUAGGUUCUGAAAGAUCUUUUUGAAGACGACAUUCAUUGUUUGACUCUGAGUUUUUCCUUCUUUAUCCACAAUAAGAACUUUCAAACCUUUUUUGGAAGUGACUCUUGAUAAGGCAACAUACAGCUGGCCAUGAGAAAAUACUGGUCUAGGAAGAUAAAUCCCUACCUCUUUAAGUGAUUGUCCCUGGCUUUUGUUUAUUGUCAUUGCAAAAGCCACAGAUAUUGGAAACUGUCUUCUCCUCAUGCGAAAAGGCAAUUUGGUAUCUGAAGGUGAUAUCUGAGAUUUAGGGAUUAUCACUUUGUCUCCGAUUCUAUCUCCAGUAAUCACUUUGGCUUCAAGUAUAUGAUUACCCAUCUGCGUUAUCUGCAAUCUAGUACCAUUACAUAGACCAUUUUUUGGAUCAAUAUUCCUCAGUAACAUAACCGGUGCACCAAUCUUGAGACUGAGACUGUGAUUUGGCAAACCAGAAAGCUUGAUACUAUUGAGGAAAUCAGGUGUGAAGACAGGAUUGUUCAAUGAAGCACCAUCCUGAGGAUCAAUAUCGUCUGCACUUAAAUAAGUCAUUGUUUCACCUGUUUAGGGAAAAUUUGUUAGAUAAGUUUCUUAUACAUAUACAGUUAAAGAUUAUAGUAUUAAAACGUAAUUCUUACCAUUAAGUUUCUCAAGCAUGAUGUCGUUGAUGGUGUUGACAUCACUAUUUCUUGGACACAAUAUAGCUCUCUCUUGAAAGAAUUUAGGAUCAUUAUUAGGCUGCAACAAAUCCAAUUCUCCGUAAACUGCUUUGAUAAUAGCUUCAAUAGGAUCAUUUACAUCUUUAAUCAGUAAAUCUUCUGGAAUAUCUAUGAGAACUUCACCAUCAUUAGGCUCUGAAACUCUACCAUCACCAACGGCCAAGAGCCAAUCAGAAAAUUCUUUAAUUUUCUCUGCCUCAUCUUUAUCCAAAUCAUUAGCCAUAAGACGCAUGUUCUUUGUCAAAGUGAGGACCUUGCAGUGUUCCCAGAGAUAAGAUGAAUUUAAUGCAGCUAAAACAAUCUCUGCCCUACCAGCACCAUGUAUUACAGGGAGUACUUGUCUGAAAUCACCUCCGAAAACAACAACUUUACCACCAAAUGGCUUUCCAUCGACAUUUCCAAUAACAUCAUUUAGACUUCUAUCCAAUGACUCAAAACAAUAACGACUCAUCAUAGGAGCUUCAUCCCAUAUGAUAAGAGAUGCUUCCUUAAGCAUAUUAGCAAGGUCUGAGUUAGGCACGAUAUGACAUGUUGUGAAAUCAUCAGGAUGAAUAGGGAUACCAAACCUAGAAUGUGCAGUUCUACCACCUUCUAACAACAAAGAAGCAAUCCCGCUAGACGCAACAUUGACAGAAAUCAAACCCCUCAUUCGAACUGCGGCAAAUAGAGUUUUCCACAUAAAAGUUUUACCGGUUCCCCCAAAUCCAUAAACAAAGAAGACACCUCCACUGUUUUCUAAAACAGCACCAAUGAUCUCAUCAUAAAUGCCUUUUUGCUCAGAAGUCAUCUUAUUAACCCACUCAUCAUGGUCUUCUCGCAACUUAUCACGGUUAUAAUUUUUCUCUUCUGUAAUGAAACGGUUUGAAUGAUCUAUACCUUCUUGAGUAGGUUUAGGCAUGUCUUUGAAGUCUGUCAGAGUACUCCCAUUACACAACAGCAAAUCUUCUAUCUCUUGAAGAGCAUAAUUUCUUUUCUCAGCAUCAGUUAAUACUAAAUCUGGAGUAAAAAAGAAAAACACUAUUUCAUUAUAACAGAAACGGAAGGCAAGCAAACCAACGGAAAAAAAAUUGUAUCUCAACAAACCUGGAUUGUUGUACUGAUUUCUUUUCUUUGUUUCGAUGUCUUCCGUUAAAAUUCCACAACACAUUUCCCACACAUACUCCGGUCUUGCAAGACAUUUAUCCAGAAGCAUCAUAGAAAAGAAAUUACGAAGAUGAUCUCCAAAGAAAAAUAAGCUUGCUUCCACUAUACUAUCAAUAUAAGCUUGAUCGUCUGUUAGAAUACCACGUGCCAAACAUGCCUCCUUGUAUGUCUCAUACACAACAUCUUUGUAUGUUCUGAUAUCUUCAUCACUCUUUGGACCAGUUACUAUCCCAAGAAGGAUCCUCAUGUAAUAUUCUGGUUCCAUUUUAAUGGAGGCAUAGUUUAUUCUCCCUAUACAGAAACCUCUUUCCCUAAGCUUCCACUGCUUAUUCUGUCCAUCCCAAGUGAAAUAUUGAGGAAUCUCUGCGUAAGUGAACUGUCUAGCAAACUCAUUCUCCUUAUUCAGAUUAAGAUAAGCCAUAAACAUAGAAUCUUCGUUUGCUUUUCUAUCCAAUAGUUCAUCAAUAUUCUGGGUGCCAUCGAAAAAUAAUGGUUGCUUUCCAGGAAGAUGGUAAGAAAGCUUCAUCACAGGUGUAGUCCUAAACUGGAUGGGAAAUUUGAAUAUCCUCCAAACAGCUUCAGAAGCUGAAACAUACCUAUUUAUUAAGGGAAAAAAUGUAAAUUAUUGCAAACUGAAAAUAUAUAACUGAUAUAGUAGAUAUAUUCACUAAAGAAUAUUAUAUCAUACCUGCAAUCGAAGUAAUCUUUGAUUUCAUCUUUACUUUUUUCUUUACUGCCAGUUGCUGAUCCAGUCUCCGUAUCAGUAUUCUUGUCCUUAGGUUCAACAACGAUAGCUACACGAUCUUGUCCUUUGUUAAUAUACUUAAAUAAGUAUUUGAUAGAACCGGAUUGGUUACACCACUCAACGUUGAUGUGAGCUCUAUAACGCAAUGAUAAAAGGCGAUUAUACGGAACAACAUAACUGUUGUCACACUUAAUACCACCUUUUUCAACAAAGUGCUGAGAUUCCCGCCUUCUAUAUAUUGGGUAUCCGUCUUUACCAACUGUUGUUUGCUCAACCAAUUUCUUAGGAAAAAACUUAGAACACUUGCCAUCAACCAUGCAUGGUGAAUCUUUGUUGGCCGCACCACAUGGACCAUGUAUCAUACACUCCUUUACAACCUCAUAUAACUUAGGAUCCUUAGCUUUAUCUGGAAUCUCAGCAGAGAUGAUAUUGUCAAUAUCAUCUGAUGUUGGAAAUUUGCAACUUUUAUCCAUGAAUAAGAGUAUAUGAGCAUGUGGUAGUCCUCUUUUCUGAAACUCCACUGUGUACAUAGCUGCAAAUAGCAAUAACCAUUUUAAACUCAUAUUCGUACAGUAACAGGCAAUAAAAUAAACAAACAUAAAACAUAUCUGUAAAAAUAAAACAAUUCAUUACCAGAGACAGUUUUUCCUAGAAGAUGGUCUUCUGUUAAAUCUUUCAUAAGAGAGUCAAGCUUCAUCUUGAAUAUCCGACACACAACAUCUGGUCUAUCAUCCGCAUUAAGUUUACGCUCUUUACAAUAUCUAGUUAUUUCUGGCCACUUGUGGUUACAUGUAAAUGUUAUAAACAGGUCUGGGAAACCAUACAUUUUACACGUAGCCAUAGCAUCAUAAUAACUGUUCAACAUAUAGCGAGGUCCACCAGUAAAAGAAGAUGGAAUACGUAUUGAUUUACCUUGUUCACCCAUGUUGGUGUUUCCAGCUUCUGAGGCAGCCUUAAGAGUAGAAUAAUUCUCACAUCUCAGAUUAGACUGGUUAAACUUAAUAUAGGAUAACCUGUUGGAUUCCAGUGUUGUGUAUCCAUCUACCAAGAACUGUUGGAACAAACGCUUUGAACGUAGUAGUGUCUGUGCUUCAUCAAAUCUCUCUUGUAUUCUGAAAGCAUACCACUGCCUCAUACUUAUACACUUGUUUGCUUGUUUUUCUGUCUUGCAUGUAUAUCCCUUUUCUAUUCCUGGUCUAAAUCCAUCUUCACCAUAAAUAAAUAUGAGAGGAUAUUGCAUUGGGACAUAAGAAGGAUGAACUUCGCUUAUUCUUGAAAGCUGUCCUGUUUUCUUAUCUUGAACAAUAAUAUCACGUGUAGGCAUUUCAGGACGAAAAUCUCCGGGAAUCAAAGCUGCAACUUCAGACGCUGUAGGGUUGGAAUAAGUUCUUCCAUCUUUUCCUACCCUAUCACUAACAAUCUUCAUGUAGAACGGUUCACCAUCAUUACUAUCCAACUUAUCUUUUGCCAUCCUGAAAUUUUCAACGUAGGGAUUGCAAUCAUCCAACAAUUUGAUGAGCUUUGCAAUGAGGUCCUUUCUGACUUGAUUCUUGACUGUUGUUUUCUUUGGAUUUUUUCCCUUGCU
rnacentral:lncRNA from 1 species